UGCCUUUGUGUGUUGCCCCUUCAUUGUUUCCUCAGUGACUGGGGUGUCAGAUAAGGCGCACAGUGACACUUGUGGCUGUCUGUGAAACGAGCAUCGGGUGACUCCUUUACACAAACAGCUGCAAGGACACAC
rnacentral:snoRNA from 1 species